rnacentral:rRNA from 1 species
CCUACGGGAGGCAGCAGUGAGGAAUAUUGGUCAAUGGACGCAAGUCUGAACCAGCCAUGCCGCGUGAAGGAAGACGGCUCUAUGAGUUGUAAACUGCUUUUGUACGAGGGUAAACGCAGAUACGCGUAUCUGUCUGAAAGUAUCGUACGAAUAAGGAUCGGCUAACUCCGUGCCAGCAGCCGCGGUAAUACGGAGGAUUCAAGCGUUAUCCGGAUUUAUUGGGUUUAAAGGGUGCGUAGGCGGUAGGAUAAGUUAGAGGUGAAAUCCCGAGGCUCAACUUCGGAAUUGCCUUUGAUACUGGUCGUCUAGAGUGUAGUAGCGGUAGGCGGAAUGUAUGGUGUAGCGGUGAAAUGCUUAGAGAUCAUACAGAACACCGAUUGCGAAGGCAGCUUACCAAGCUACUUCUGACGUUGAGGCACGAAAGCGUGGGGAGCAAACAGGAUUAGAUACCCUAGUAGUC